rnacentral:rRNA from 1 species
UACGUAGGGCGCAAGCGUUGUCCGGAAUUAUUGGGCGUAAAGAGCUCGUAGGCGGUUUGUCGCGUCUGCUGUGAAAACCUAAGGCUCAACCUUGGGCUUGCAGUGGGUACGGGCAGACUAGAGUGUGGUAGGGGAGACUGGAAUUCCUGGUGUAGCGGUGAAAUGCGCAGAUAUCGUUUGGAACGCCAAAGGUGAAAACAGCUCGCUGGGGGGUCUGCUGACGCUGAGACACGAAAGCCAGGGGGAGCGAACGGG